AAUUUUUUAUUUUGUGAAAUAUAAAUAGAAGUGCUUCUUUUUAAUCCAUUGGUUUCCGUUUACGAAUUUUCAUGUCAACAAGCAUUUUUUUUAUGUUUUGUUUUUGAUGGUAGUUUUGUGAUCUAUAGGGCCUGUAAAGAAUCUCCUAGUAUAUGUUUUAAGAAAAUUGGUGGUGCUAUUGAGUAGUGCUAUUUGGUGGCGCUAUAUUUCCUGUUAGCGCGUUAGUAGCGGCAUGUUUGUGAAGAAGAGUGUACCUUCACUUCUGUUACUCAUGAUAAAUUUGCAAAUGUUGCAUAUUUGGGUCAACUUUGUAAAUUUACGAAGUAGUCAAAGUUGUUGACUUACGAAAAUUGAAGACUUGAGUGCGAGUUUGUUGCGCCAAAAUUCAUUCACCAGACUAUUUACAUCUUGCGUUGGCAGUUUUGAAUAAAGUUUCAAAGUUACUGCAUUGAAGUGUAUUGGUUUGCGUUGUUGUGUUGGUGCCCUCAUCGUUAGUAAACUCGACAAGUCAGUCAAUUUACAGGGCCUACACUAUAAAACUUGUUUUCCUUACAUUGCAACGACAACAAACGCUGUCAAAUUGUUUUAUUUAUUUUAGUUUAUUUAGUUCAUGCCUUUUAUUUUUAGGUUUUAUUAAGGGUUGACAUUCUCCCUUGUGGGAAAUUUCCUUGUAUGAUACG